UACGGGGGGGGCAAGCGUUGUUCGGAAUUACUGGGCGUAAAGGGCGCGUAGGCGGUUUGCUAAGUUGGAUGUGAAAACUCUGGGCUUAACCCAGAGCCUGCAUCCAAAACUGGCAAACUUGAGUACUGGAGGGGAAAGCGGAAUUCCUGGUGUAGCGGUGAAAUGCGUAGAUAUCAGGAGGAACACCAGCGGCGAAGGCGGCGCUCUGGGCCGGAACUGACGCUGAGGAGCGAAAGCGUGGGUAGCAAACAGG
rnacentral:rRNA from 1 species